UCUCUGUUGAGACAAGAGAAAAUAAGGGAAAUUGCAGAUGUACGCCACGCCCUGAAAUUUGCAGAGAUAUUUACGAAUCGUAGGCUGUCUGGUUUUGGAGAGAACCAGACACUAUACCAUUUGCUUUCUCUCUCUCUCUCUCUCUAUGAUUUGGUAAGAAUUUGGGUCUUUUACAGAUUAGGCGUCUUGGGAUCUGAAUCUGCGACUAGGUGAAAGACUUAGAACUCCAAACUACCACGACACAAUCAGAUUCAUCCAAUGGGCAUUACUGUUUGUUCUAUAUAGGAGAAGUUGGUACUUGUACUCAACUGGUUUUCUUUGAACUUUUUACUUUCAUGUAUAAAUCCUAUAAAAUAAUGCAUAUGGAGACCACUGGCAUGUUCAUAUGCUCUUCUAUGAUGUCCUUUUUCCUAGUUUUUUAAUUUUACAAUCUAAAGUUGCAAAAAAUGAGACAGGAGGUUGUUCAGUUAAGAACCACAAAUCUUCACAGCCCUCAAGAAAUCUUAAAAGUUUCAAACUAAGGGAAAAUUUUAAAUUAAUGUGGUUUGAUAAAGAUCAUCGGCUAUAGAGGUAAGUUAGCUGUAUACAAUGUUAGAGGAAUGUGGGGUAGGAUAUACA